rnacentral:lncRNA from 1 species
UGGUAUACGAUUAGGGAUUGAGAGAUACAAAACUAGACAUGCAAAAAUUAGAAACAAAGUGAUGAAAUUGAAAAGUAGAAGCUGCAAAAUUGGUUUUCCAUUUACCUGUGUAGAAACGUCAAUGAUGAAGUUGAAGAUGAAGUUGAAGAGUGAACGAAGGAUUUAAGCAAUUCAAGAAAGAAUCUGCAUCGAAAUCAGAAGAAUCCUCGCGCCUCUGCUUACGAUGGCUAUCCCAAUCGACAUCGGAAUCAGAAAAUAACCACGGCGAGAGUAAACGAGAAAGAGAGAAAGGAAAAACAAAAAUCCUUCAUCUCAGUCUUAGGAGAAAUCCUUCAGUGUUAAGAGAAAUAGAUCUGAAUUGAAAUCCUUCAUUGUUUUGAAAUUGAAAGAAAAAGAGAAAGGAAAAACAAAAACCUAAUCUUAGGAGAAAUUGAGAAGAAAGAAAAAUGAAAACCUUUCUCUAUAAUGGUGAUAGAGUUGAGGGGAAAGUG